rnacentral:lncRNA from 1 species
AAUUCCUCCUCUUGUCAACAAAUCCUCUUAGCAUCACAUAAUCAUCUUUUCAUGAAAAAGUAGCUAGGGGAACAUUGCUAGCAAUUUCUACACGCUCUAGGACUCAAAUUACUAGUGAAGCUAGCAGUUGAACAGAGGAAAUUAGAAGUGUGUAGACAUUGGACUGUCAAAUACAUCUCUACCUCAGAUUUACCAUUAUUUUUCUUUGAGAUGUCUAUGUAUCCAAGGAGACGUUAGAAUCAUAUAUUCUUAAGGUGACAGUAUAAUAUGCUCUUCCUAUUCAGUGCAUUCAGUUUGGCUGAGGUUAAAAGCAAUAGCCUAAACAUCAAAAACAUGUCAUCUUCAAAUUAAUAAGAUUGAUAGCCCACUUAUGUUUUUAUUAUUUAUACAUAAGGCAAAACAUUCAAGUAUAUCACUUAAAGAGAAGUAUUCCCAAAUAUCUUUUAUAAUUUGAAUUCACAUUAACAAUUAUCCUGAAGACACUAAAAUUCCUUUAAAUGAGAUUUAAAUAACCUCAUGAGAAAAAUAUGCAAGUAUUUCUGCAUCUCCGACUGGAUAUCACUUUUCUAAUCAAUUUCAGUCUCAUUUUGUUCUCCUGAAUCCUGAGUUCCUACAAGAGUUCCCUAGCUCAGUUUCAUUUGGCUCAUUCUUUAAACUUCUCUGAUGAAAAUAUAAAAACUGCUUUCCUCAGGC